UACGUAGGGUGCAAGCGUUGUCCGGAAUUAUUGGGCGUAAAGGGCGCGUAGGCGGCAGGCCAAGUCGGGCGUGAAAGCCCGGGGCUCAACCCCGGAAUGUCUUUCGAAACUGGCCAGCUUGAGUGCGGAAGAGGCAACUGGAAUUCCCAGUGUAGCGGUGAAAUGCGUAGAUAUUGGGAAGAACACCUGAGGCGAAGGCGGGUUGCUGGGCCGACACUGACGCUGAGGCGCGAAAGCCAGGGGAGCAAACGGG
rnacentral:rRNA from 1 species